UUCAACAAACAAAGCUCUCACAAUUCAAUAAUUAUUUAUUACCAUAUCCAUUGUUAUGCCUAUUGAUGAUGAGUAUUAAGGUGUUUUUGACCAAGUUGCUACUCUUGUUGACUGUCAAGUUUUCAACACC